rnacentral:rRNA from 1 species
GAUGAACGCUGGCGGCGUGCUUAACACAUGCAAGUCGAACGGAAAGGCUCCUGCUUGCUGGGGUACUCGAGUGGCGAACGGGUGAGUAACACGUGGGUGAUCUGCCCUGCACUUCGGGAUAAGCCUGGGAAACUGGGUCUAAUACCGGAUAGGACGAUGGUUUGGAUGCCAUUGUGGACAGUUUUUUCGGUGUGGGAUGAGCUCGCGGCCUAUCAGCUUGUUGGGGGGGUAAUGGCCUACCAAGGCGUCGACGGGUAGCCGGCCUGAGAGGGUGUACGGCCACAUUGGGACUGAGAUACGGCCCAGACUCCUACGGGAGGCAGCAGUGGGGAAUAUUGCACAAUGGGCGCAAGCCUGAUGCAGCGACGCCGCGUGGGGGAUGACGGCCUUCGGGUUGUAAACUCCUUUCGCUAGGGACGAAGCGCAAGUGACGGUACCUGGAGAAGAAGCACCGGCUAACUACGU